CAGAUGGGAGCCAUGCAGUACUUGACCAUGGCCUGCACACACUUCUUCCCAGGAGAAGGGGAAUGAGGAAGAAAGGCUCAUGGCGUCUAUGUCGUAAAUGAGCUGUGCAUUUGCUAUGUCCCUUCUCUUCAGCAACCCUUAUUUUUCUUGCCUGUACAUCUCUACUGUGGGAAUCACAGGGAAGCUGCUGCAGCACAACUUGAAAUAGAAAGCUUGAUGGUAUGAAUUUAGGACAAGAACAUGAGAAGAAGGGCUCCAGAGAGGAUUCAUUAAGAGCAUUUUCUGCUCUUCCAGAAGCAUCCGAGUUUGGUGUGGGCACCCAAGUCAUUAGGCUCAGAGCUGCUUGGCACCAGGAGAUGUCAGGAAGCUGGUAUAAAUCCUCAUUGGACUUGAAGGGCGAGUGGCCUGAAGUGGGUCACAAGUGAUCAGGGAUUCUCAAACUGCUGUUCCCAGCUUGCAUUUAAAAAUGGGAAAUAACUCAAAAGACAAUUGCAAACUCUCUGCAGUCAAGAUGGCUCCUGCUUGUAAUCUCAGUGUUCAGAAGGUCUGGAUCCCCUCGGGCUGCCACCAGGAUCACCAGAAAGUUUGUUAAAUAGAGAAGCACUUGAUAGAAGGCACCUGGAUAAGGAUGGACAGAAACCAGAGGCCUUGGCUAUCUGGAUUCUGACUUCUUCAAAAAGAUGAGAUGAUAGAUGAGAAAAGUCCGUCCGUGGUGUUAGAGACUUUGGCCCACACCCAUGCCGUGCAGCUCUGCCAGGGCCUACCUGCUUGACUCAACCCUUUUUGUUCCCUCACCCUCUCUGGGUAACUGAGAGAUUUAUACCUUGGCUAUCCUGGGAAUGUCUUUCUAAACUAAUAAAAUUGUUCUUGAGUUUCCUUCUGA
ensembl:processed_transcript